AAAAUAAUAUUUUUUUAUAGAGAUGUAUAAAUUAAUAAAAAUAAUUAUGAUGGAAAUUAUUGGAGUAAUAAAUAAAGAAAUAAUGAAAAGGUUGGUAUUUAAUAAGAAGGGUUGAAAGAUUUGAAAAUAAAUUUUUUUAAAAGAAAAUGAUUUUUGUACCUUUUGUAUCAGGGUUUAUUAAAUGAAAUUUUAGAUUUAAGUGAUCCCGAAAAUAGAAGAGCUAAGAAGGAUUGAAAUUUUAGUAGGAUAAAAAUUAUAAAAUUUUUUUUAGAAGUGAAAUGCUAUUCGAUUUUAUUUAUAUCUGGUUUUUAAAGAAUUAAAUUAAAUUUAGUUAGUUUAAGAAUUUAUUUUUAUUAAAAAAGUAAAAGAUGGGCUAAUAAAAAGUAUUAAGGAUAAGCUUAAUAUUUAAUUUAUUACUAGAUGUAAUUUUUUUUAGGUGGGCUUAAGAAUAGCUAUCUUUUUAGGGUUUUAUAAUUAAAAAAUAAGAAAAAAGAUUUUUAUAAGUAUAAAAAAUUAUUUAAAAAUUGUUUAAAAUAAUAAGGGGCAAACUAAAAUGAUAAAAUUAUUAUAAAAAAUUGUAAAAUGAAAUAAAAAUAUAAUUAUAAUAAAGGAACUAGGCAAACAUUUUUUCCACUUGUUUAUCAAAAACAUCGCUUUUAGGAAAGUUUUAAAAGUACAACCUGCCCGAUGAGAGUUGAAUGGCCGCAGUAUUUUGACUGUGCAAAGGUAGCAUAAUCAUUAGUCUUUUUAAUGGAGGCUGGAAUGAAUGGUGAAAUGAGAAAAAAGCUGUCUUUAUUAUAAAGUUAAAAGUUAAUUUUUUAGUGAAAAAGCUGAAAUAGACUUAUUAGACGAGAAGACCCUAUAGAUCUUGAUAUAUGUUAUUGAAUAAUUAUUAGAUGAAAAAGUUUUAUGAGUAAAUAUAUUUGGUUGGGGUGACAAGGAAAUAAAUUAACUUUCUUAAAUAGAUACAAUGAUAAUUGAAUAAAUGAUCCAAUUAGGUUGAUUAGAAGUUUAAGUUACCUUAGGGAUAACAGCGUAAUUUUUUUUGAGAGUUCUUAUUGAUAAAAAGGAUUGUGACCUCGAUGUUGGAUUAAGAUUAUAUUGGAAAGUAGAAGUUUCAAAGUUUAGUCUGUUCGACUAUUAAAAUCUUACAUGAUCUGAGUUCAAACCGGCGUGAGCCAGGUUGGUUUCUAUCUUUAAAUAAAAAUGAUAAUUUAGUACGAAAGGACCAAUUAUUAGAAAUAGUUUUUAUUAAAAGAACAAUAUU
rnacentral:rRNA from 1 species